UACGUAGGGGGCAAGCGUUGUCCGGAAUCAUUGGGCGUAAAGCGCGUGUAGGCGGCUCGGUAAGUCCGCUCUGAAAGUCCAGGGCUCAACCCUGGGAUGCGGGUGGAUACUGCCGGGCUCGAGUCCGGAAGAGGCGAGUGGAAUUCCCGGUGUAGCGGUGAAAUGCGCAGAUAUCGGGAGGAACACCAAUGGCGAAGGCAGCUCGCUGGGACGUGACUGACGCUGAGACGCGAAAGCGUGGGAGCAAACAGGA
rnacentral:rRNA from 1 species